UACGGGGGGAGCAAGCGUUGUUCGGAAUUACUGGGCGUAAAGGGCGCGUAGGCGGCCCGCUAAGUCGAACGUGAAAUCCCCGGGCUCAACCCGGGAACUGCGUCCGAUACUGGUGGGCUUGAAUCCGGGAGAGGGAUGCGGAAUUCCAGGUGUAGCGGUGAAAUGCGUAGAUAUCUGGAGGAACACCGGUGGCGAAGGCGGCAUCCUGGACCGGUAUUGACGCUGAGGCGCGAAAGCCAGGGGAGCAAACGGG
rnacentral:rRNA from 1 species